UAUCAAACACCUGUAUUUUGUGACUAGUAAAAUGUGAUCUGAUUUGAAUUUCAGGAGCUGAAUGGUAGUUUGAUCAUAGCACUCCUCUCACAGCUAUACAAGUAUUCCCUGAAUUUACUCAGUUUGUUUGGAAUGGGAAGUAUACCCAGCAUACCUCCAGCAGAAGGAUUGGCCUGCUAGAGUUGUAAUGCGUUUGUAGCCUACAUGUGUGACUUAUAUAUAACAUUUGCUAACAUGAGUACACAUUGCAUACAAUGGUGUAAGUUUCCUUUUUUACCUUUAUAAACUCAACUUGCGUCUGUAAAUAUCUGUAUUCGUUGUACUAUUAUUAUUUCCGUAGCCUAGGCUACACUAAUGGUCACGUUCCAAGUCCUAUGCCUGUAAAGUGAUUUGAACGCCAAUCGGCUGCACUCCGGUACUGUACCUGCACCACGAAUAUGACAUCGGUUUUCCUCUAUAUAACCAUUAUAUUUUUUACGCUACUUACCUAUAAUGAUUUGGGAAAGAACCAUAAACCAACCAUUGAAUUAAAUUGUAAUGACGGUGCUAGUCACAUAUGUACUAACAUCAUAGAUUGUAGAUGGACUGGCUUCUUGAAAGACGUUGUAUUUGAUUGCCCGCUUGAUAAUGACAAGUUUCAAUGUUCAGUGGAGACGGAUGAAGUAAAGAAAAACAAGGAAGAACAACAAACAGUACCAGUGGCACCGAUAUGCAAAGACAAUAGAAGCUGUGGAUUCCCUACAACAUUUGUAGGUGAAAGUGUAAGAUGCACCAUACGUAUGCAAAUACAGCCACCAAUAACAUCAAGAGGACCAGAAAAGAUGGAAGAUGGAAAAGAUUUGGGAAAGAACCAUGAACCAACCAUUGAAUUAAAUUGUAAUGACGGUGCAAUUCACAUAUGUACUAACAUCAUAGAUUGUAGAUGGACUGGCUUCUUGAAAGACGUUGUAUUUGAUUGCCCGCUUGAUAAUGACAAGUUUCAAUGUUCAGUGGAGACGGAUGAAGUAAAGAAAAACAAGGAAGAACAACAAACAGUACCAGUGGCACCGAUAUGCAAAGACAAUAGAAGCUGUGGAUUCCCUACAACAUUUGUAGGUGAAAGUGUAAGAUGCACCAUACGUAUGCAAACACAACUACCAACAACAUCAAGAAAACCAGACAAUCUGAAGAAUAAAACAGAGCCAAAACACAAUAUACCCUGGUGGAUUUGGUUAAUAACUUUCCUUUGGCCUUUUGCCUUUGACAUUAGCGUUGGCAUUGAUGUUGGGAUUUGGAUUAAUCAAUGUCAGGAGAAAAAGGAUUAAUUUGAGACACGUGAUGAGGCGCAUAGAAGUGGAUGGAAUGAUAUAAAAAACAAAUGAGGAGGUAUUAUUGCAGGGGUUAACCUAUGGGUCCACUAGUAUGAGCCAUCAUCACCAUUUAGCCAGCAGGCUAUUUUAAUACUAAUCUCAUUGGGGUAAAUUAAUCAAAUGUUUUAAAAGAUAUAUAAAAUCUGCAUGGAUUAGUGUUUGCCAUCAUGUGUGACGCAGUGAUAAAACACCUGAAAGAAUGCCUACAUUAACAUACAGUACCAGUCAAAAGUUUGGAGACACCUACUCAUUCCAGGGUUUUUCUUAAUCUUUUACUAUCUUCUACAUUGUAGAGUAAUAGUAAAGAAGACAUCAAAACUUUGAAAUAACACAUAUUGAAUCAUGUAGUAAGCAAAAAAAGUGUUAAACAAAUCCAAAUAUAUUUUAGAUUUGAAAUUCUUCAAAGUAGCCACCCUUUGCCUUGAUGACAGCUUGGCACACUCUUGGCAUUCUCUCAACCAGCUUAAUGAGGAAUGCUUGAAGAAGUUCCCACAUAUGCUGAGCAGUUGUUGGCUGCUUUUCCUCCACUCUGCGGUCCCAAACAAUCUCAAUUGGGUUGAGUUCGGGUGAUUGUGGAGGACAGGUCAUCUGAUGCAGCACUCCAUCACUCUCCUUGGUCAAAUAGACCUUACACAGCUUGGAGGUGUGUUUUGGGUCAUUGUCCUGUUGAAAACAAAUGAUAGUCCCACUAACCUUACAGUGAAAUGCUUACUUACAGGCCUCUAACCAACAAUGCAGUUUAAAAAAUAUGAAUAAGAAUAAGAAAUAAAAGUAACAAGUAGUUAAAGAGCAGCAGAAAAAUAACAAUAGUGAGACUAUAUACAGGGGGUACCGGUACAGAGUCAAUGUGCGGGGGCACUGGUUAGUUGAGGUAAUAUGUACAUGUAGGUUAUUAAAGUUAUUAAAGUGACUAUGCAUAGAUAAUAACAUAGUAGCAACGGCAUAAUAGAGGGGAGGGGGGGGGCAAUGCAAAUAGUCUGGGUAGCCAUUUUAUUAGAUGUUCAGGAGUGUAAUGGUUUGGGGAUAGAAGCUGUUUAGAAGCCUCUUGGACCUAGACUUGGCACUCCGGUACCGCUUGCUGUGCGGUAGCAGGGGGGGCUGGAGUCUUUUUGGGGGGCUGGAGUCUUUAACAAUUUUAGGGCCUUCCUCUGACACUGCCUGGUAUAGAAGUCCUGGAUGGCAGGAAGCUUGGCCCCAGUGAUGUACUGGGCCAUACGCACUACCCUCUGUAAUGCCUUGCGGUCGGAGGCCGAGCAGUUGCCAUACCAGGCAAUGGUGCAACCAGUCAGGAUGCUGUUGAUGGUGCAGCUGUAAAACCUUUUGAGAAUCUGAGAACCCAUGCCAAAUCUUUUCAGUCUCCUGAGGGGGAAUAGGUUUUGUUGUGCCCUCUUCACGACUGUCUUGGUGUGCUUGGACCAUGUUAGUUUGUUGGUGAUGUGGACGCCAAGGAACUUGAAGCUCUCAACCUGCAGCUCCGUCAAUGAGAAUGGGGUCCGGUCCUCCUUUUCCUGUAGUCCACAAUCAUCUCCUUUGACUUGAUCACAUUGAGGGGGAGGUUAUUGUCCUGGCUCCACAUGAAGCUGGUUGAGCUGUCAUCAAGGCAAAGGGUGGCUACUUUGAAGAAUGUCAAAUAUAAAAUAUAUUUUGAUUUGUUUGACACUUUUGGUUACUACAUGAUUCCAUAUGUGUUAGUUACUUCAUAGUUUUGAUGUCUUCACUAUUAUCUACAAUGUAGAAAAUAGUCAAAAUUAAGAAAAACCCUGGAAUGAGUAGGUGUGUCCAAACCUUUGACUGGUACUGUACCUUAACAGAAAGUUUGAAAAUGGUUUACAGUAGUUACUACAAAUGUUAUUAUAAGGAGUAAUUAAUAUGACCGCCACAAAAUGACAUACGAUCAAAGGCUUCUCCCUCUUCUAUUGUUAGUUUAAUAAUCUGAUAAUAUGUGAAGCAUGACUCAGGUGGAACGUGGGUGGUUUCAUAACAUCCACUCACUCAAUCUACUCCCCAUGACUCAACCUUACUGUGAACUGCUGGGGCUCAAACUGGAUAUAGCUGUUUUAAUGUUUGCGACACUACUAACUACACUAACUGCAUUAAUCAUCAACUGAUAUGAGUAUUUUGACUUCAUCCUAACCCCAAUUACAAUACUUUUCAAGAUACCAAACAAAUAACAUAAUAUUUGGUUAAGAUAUGAUAAGAUGAUCAUUUUAGAAGAGAGCAAAGGACUUUUUUUGUCCAUGUCACUGGAAUGAUGGAAUGAACUUUAUUUGUCCAUACAGUGUAGUUACUGUUUUGCCUAACCCUCUCCUACCUAGGACUUAUUGUUUACUACUUUUAAAUACUAAUUGUGUUUGUGCACUUCCUCAAGAAAAUAUUUAUGUUCAAUUUUAAUUAUUGAAAUGUUUUUUUUUCUGUAAUUUAGGAUUUUAUAAUUGUGGGGAUUUCUUCUACUGUUGUUUUUGAUUUACAGUACCUACGGUGCAUUUUGUGCUUGCUUCAUUAUCCUUAUUGGGAUGCACUCAUUGCUUGAUCAUCAGCUAAAUUAUUCAAUUGUUCAUUGUAAUUCUAAUUGUCACGCCCUGGUCUUAGUAUUUUGUGUUUAUAUAUUAUUUGGUCAGGCCAGGGUGUGACAUGGGGUUAUUUUGUGUUGUGUUGUGGUAUUGGGGGUUUUAGUAGGUAUUGGGAUUGUGGCUGAGUAGGGGUGUCUAGCAUAGUCUAUGGCUGCCUGAGGUUCUCAAUCAGAGUCAGGUGAUUCUCGUUGUCUCUGAUUGGGAACCAUAUUUAGGUAGCCUGGGUUUCACUGUGUGUUUGUGGGUGAUUGUUCCUUUCUUAGUGUUUUGUAUUUCACCAGAUAGGCUGUUGUCAUUAUUUCAUUUUGUUAGAUUUGUAGUUUCUGUAUGUAUAGGUUUUCCUUCAUUAAAAUAUAUCAUGAAUCAUCAUCACGCUGCAUUUUGGUCCGAUCCUUGUUCUACCUCUUCGUCAGAGGAGGAGAUAGAAGAGAGCCGUUACACUAAUGUUACAUUUUAGAUUGUUCAAGCAACUUUAAACAAGGUGAAGAUUUCCUUUCCUAAUGUAAUCGGAAAAAUAAAAUUUGAAAUAACCG
ensembl:lncRNA